rnacentral:rRNA from 1 species
UACGUAGGGGGCAAGCGUUGUCCGGAUUUAUUGGGCGUAAAGAGCGUGUAGGCGGCUUUACAGGUCCGUUGUGAAAACUCGAGGCUCAACCUCGAGACGCCGGUGGAAACCGUAAGGCUAGAGUCCGGAAGAGGAGAGUGGAAUUCCUGGUGUAGGCGGUGAAAUGCGCAGAUAUCAGGAGGAACACCCGUGGCGAAAGCGGCUCUCUGGGACGGUACUGACGGCUGAGACGCGAAAGCGUG